ACUUUCUUCGGAAAGUAUGCCUCAUUUGGGGUUUGAGGCUAGCCAGAUGUAGGUCGAGUUAGUUGUCUAAUGAGUGACCGAGUUUGAGUGAACGUCCCCACGUGCU
rnacentral:ncRNA from 1 species